rnacentral:rRNA from 1 species
GAUUAAGUGUCGUAAGGGCAAUUGGUGGAUGCCU